AUGGUGCACUUGUUUCUUCCUCCCGUCCUGCUGGCCUUCUCCCUAGCCGCUGCUACACUCAUGCUGAACGUCGGCGUUGUGGAAGCGUGUUCGUGGCAGUGGCCCAGGUGGCGCCAUGUCUUCCACGGCCGCUUAGGCCGCCGCCACCACAUCUCGUCGAUCGUGACGGAGGAGAUGUUCUCGAGCAUGUUCCUGCACAAGGACAACACCGCCUACCCAGCCAAGGGGUUCUACAACUACUCCUCCUUCGUCAGCACAGUGGAGUGGUUCCCGGAGUUCGGCAGCGGCGCCCACCACGUCGACGUGGACACGCGCAAGCGCGAGGUCGCCGCCUUCCUGGCGCAGAUCUCCCAUGAGACCACCGGCGGGUUGCCCACGGCGCCCGACGGGCCCUACUCAUGGGGCCUCUGCAUCAAGGAAGAGAUCAAUGCAUCCAUCACCUACUGCGACGCCGACAACAAGGAGUGGCCCUGCGUCCCCGACAAAUCCUACCAUGGCCGCGGACCCAUGCAACUCUCCUGGUGA
rnacentral:rRNA from 1 species